UGUGUGUGUGGUAAUACCAAAGCAUUUGAGCGGAUAAUUAUGACAGGAUAAUCAAUUCUCUGAGGGUGUGUUCACACAUGUUCGGUGCGCUUGGUUUUUUUCGUCCGGACCAAACGAACCAAGCGAACCGAACACACCCUCAGAGAACGACAGCGGGCUGUAUCAAGGGACCUGUCCCAGAAUUUUUUCUCCCACAAUUUCCAGUCAGUCUCACUUUCACUUUACAUCAGCUGUUCUCUGAGAAGCCUCAACUCCUUUUACCCCACUAGCGACGGUCCUGCUCUUGAUAUAUGCCUGUAUUGCUGGAUGAGAGAUGGCGAAUGUUUUACAGAUGCUUUUUGUUGUGUUCUGUCCUUUAUUGGUUCUGUCUGAGAGCGGAGAUGAUGAUUGGUCUGAGAAAGAAGUGACCUGCACAUCCAUAUUGACCAUCAAACAGAGCAACCUCACCUGUUCGCUAAAUGAUGAACCCAACGAGGAGGUCAUAUUCGCAAAACUCUGUCAAAAUCCCAGCUCCUAAAAUAAAGCUUGCCACUUACAUGGAAGACACAGAAGAAGUUUUCAUAUGGUUUGAACACAGACAUGACUAUGUUUUCAACCCUACCUUUCAAGUGGAAAUCUGGGGGGACAAACUAGCAAACAAGUCCAUCAGCCUUAUUAUUACAUACAGGAACUUAAGUAUCAGCAGGGACAGACUCGGUAGAGAUGGUGUUUACUAUACACGUGUUAGAGCAAAACCUAUGGAUUUCUUUGAAGGCGACUGGAGUGAGUGGAGCUCAAUUGCCAGUUUCACUAUAAAAACAAACAGAACUGAGCUUCUAAAGAUCACGUCACGAUCAUCACUUCACAUCACCAUCGGCUUCUCCGUCUUUCUGCUGCUCAUCAUCAUUUUGGGGGUCUUGCUAUGGAGAAUGCAUAUAAAAGGCUACUUCACAGCAAAACAUCCCGCUGCCGAAAGCAACUCUCGCACGAAUCCACAGGGCGAAAGAGAAACACACAUCAUGCUCACUGCACCUGCCCAGUCCCUUGAUGCCUGCGGACCCUCGUGCCCUCAGACGCCCUGAACAAUCUGCCAGCUGCUUCUUGGCGUUGAUCGCCAUCUCUCAUGUACCUGCCAUCAUACAGCUAUCUGAUCCGAAGGUGACAAGAGUGAUUUUUCAGCUUAUUUGAGUGGGUGCACUCUUAAAAAUAAAGUUUCUGUAUUGGCAUUGAUACCAAUAACCUUUAACCUUUCCAUUGCACAAAAGGUUCUUUAUAGUGGAAAAAGGUUUUUUUAGACUUAAAAAAAAAAAAAAAAAAAACGUUCUUCAAACUAAGGAAAAAAUAAUGUUUUUUUAUGAACUGUACCCUUGUUGUUUUGGUGAAAUAAAAAUGGUUCUUCUAUUGCA